UAUGGGGCUUGAAGGAGCUGCUUUGGCAGCUUCUAUUUAAUCGUAGAUGGUUUUCUUGGUUGUGGUCGUUCACAUGCUUAAGUCUCAUAAAUGUAAGCUCACAUGGAAAGGAUUCUCUUUGAAGCUUUUCUGCAAUGUAUUAUUCUGAUUCACUUCGACGUCCAACUUUAUUUGGACUCAAAUCUUCCUAUAUUGUGAUAACUUUAUUUGAAAUUUUAAAUGCAUCAUCACCUACUUUAGUUGAUGUAGGUGGACAAGAGCUUGGAGGAAUUCAUUACGUCACAUUAUUUGUCGAAGUAAGAAUCUUGCUUAUCGAUGUAACCUAUAACCUGUAUAGCAACUGUAAGAGAAAUGGAAGGUGAUAGAAGACUUACAAUACAAAGGCAUGAAGCAGUCCCAGACAAUCGAGCAUCGAUCCAAAUAACUGAAUACUCAUUUUGUAUUGUUUGAAGAACUUUUUUAUUAUACAAAAUUACUUAAUACUCAUUUUGUAAUGUAAAUAGAUGAUGAAGUUUCAAUUGUGAAUGGAAAUUACAGUAUUUCACUUGCAAU